rnacentral:rRNA from 1 species
GACGAACGCUGGCGGCGUGCUUAACACAUGCAAGUCGAACGGUGAAGCGCCUUCCUUUUUGGUGGGUGUGGAUGAGUGGCGAACGGGUGAGUAACACGUGAGUAACCUGCCCCCUUCUUCUGGAUAACCGCAUGAAAGUGUGGCUAAUACGGGAUAUUCUGGGUCUGUCGCAUGAUGGGUCUGGGAAAGAUAUUGUUUCGGUGGGGGAAGGGCUCGCGGCCUAUCAGCUUGUUGGUGGGGUGAUGGCCUACCAAGGCGGUGACGGGUAGCCGGCCUGAGAGGGUGGGCGAUCACACUGGGACUGAGACACGGACCAGACUCCUACGGGAGGCAGCAGGGGGGAAUAGUGCACGAGGGGCGGAAGCCUGAUGCAGCGACGCCGCGUGAGGGAUGGAGGCCUUCGGGUUGUGAACCUCUUUCGCCAGUGAAGCAGGCCUGCCUCGUUUGUGGGUGGGUUGACGGUAGCUGGAUAAGAAGCGCCGGCUAACUACGUG